UACGUAGGGUGCGAGCGUUAAUCGGAAUUACUGGGCGUAAAGUGUGCGCAGGCGGCUUCGCAAGUCGCGUGUGAAAUCCCCGAGCUUAACUUGGGAAUUGCGCUCGAAACUACGGAGCUGGAGUGUGGCAGAGGAAGGUGGAAUUCCACGUGUAGCGGUGAAAUGCGUAGAGAUGUGGAGGAACACCGAUGGCGAAGGCAGCCUUCUGGGCAAACACUGACGCUCAUGCACGAAAGCGUGGGGAGCAAACAGG
rnacentral:rRNA from 1 species